UUUUUUUUCCCCCAAUUGUUUUUAAUCUUGAUAUAGUUCUGUGUGUUAUUUUAGUUCUCAUCAAUAAACUCUUUUGCUUAAAUGUAACUUUUAUUUGAGAAGCUAACUUUCUAUGCUUUUCUGCAGUGUGGGGUAUGUGCUGGGAGCAUGGAGACAUGAAAAUGCAUGGACAACCUGAACUUCCUCUAAUGUGUAAAUGGAACUUGUGUGCUUAGAAGAAGUCAUUUUGGUUUUGAUGUACUGGUGUAUAAUUAAAAUAGCUUUAAACCCCUCAAAUAUGACUUAUUCUUUGGGGUAGGACAUAAAGACUCUUCUGAUUGGAAUAUUUAAGUGAGUAUAAAUUAUUCAUGACUUAGCUAAGAGUAAAGCUUCCUUAUGACUGCUCCUCAGGCUGUGAUUGUCGUUAUCAUCCCAGCAGGUGUAGCACACAGGCAGUGGCAGAAGUUGAGGGACAGAGUGCUAGGGAUCAAGUCUACCCAACAGAGGGAAAAGUAGUUCCACUCAAGUGCUGACAAAGUUUUCUUCACCUUAGUAGGAUUAAGUGUCUGGGAAGAAAAACUGUAAACUAAGACAGGAACAGAAAGGAUCAAGACGCCAACUGCUAUUCCUCUUAGGGAUUUUGAAUAGAUAGAAAUGAGCAAUGAUUUGACAGUCCCCAAAUCAAGAAUGGCUGAAAGAAAAGGAUCUAUCUGGCAUUUUAAUCCAGUGCUUAUGACAGACUAAAAUAACUGCAUCAGGCAGGGGCUGCUGUGGGAAAAACAUGAAUGCAUUCAGUAGCUGCACAAAGUAUAUAGCAGAAUACUGCCAGACCAGCUCUUCCCUUGUUGCAGCUCUAACUUCCCUGCUGUGAUAUGCAGGCAUCUGUGAUGGUCUUUGUCUGUCCAUGUUUAGACAUCUAAAUUUUCUACAGCCUAGAGGCAUACAUUGGGACUGACCACCUGACCACCUAGUCAACAGCAAGAAAACAGUAUUAUUGAAGUACAGUGACUCUUACAAGGACAUGCCUGAGGAGCUGAUAAUUUUCCAGAGCUGUGAGAUGAUGCACUUCAAGACCCCAGCAUCCUUCAGGGAGAAGCUUCCCUGCUUCUGACUUCAGCAGGAACUGGUGCCCUGGUCAUCCCACCCAGGCUGGUUUUGCCCUGGGAGCAGAACAUUUCUCUAUUGUGAUUAUCUUUAUCUUUGUCAUUAUCUGUUCAGGCUUAUUAAGUUUAUAUGGGAUCGUGAUUGUUCAUUAAGCCUUAUCUGUCUGCUUGGAGAGGUAAAAAUAUAUAUAUUUUUUAUUUCUCCUGUGGCAAGAGCCACUUAAUUUUGACAAUAUCUAUCUGUUCUUACUGUUCCCUAGGUAUUUCACUGACAGGUACAGUGGCCCUUUCAAAAUGAAGGCUUAGGCAUAGCACUGUAAAAGUAUUCAUGUCUCUCUUUGCAGUUCAACUGAAUGACACUCAAAAAAUGUAACUAAACCCAAAUACAUAUAAACUUAGAGCAGGGGUUGGAAGAGGAAAUGUCCAAUUGAUAUUGGACACUUUUGUCCGAUAAGGUGUCCUAAAGCACCUUUGUUUGGAAAUUUGUGACAUUUCUACCCACUUACACAAGCUAGAUGACACUGCUAUGAAACAGAUGAAGCAUCUGUCUUGGAUACUUAUAAAAAUGCCACUUUUAGAAAUGUAUGAUUGUUUAUUUAUUUUUGUAUGCAAAAAAAAACUGGAUGUGAAUCAUUAUCUGGGCUGUCCUAAGCCUGCAAGUGUUCUGUAGUGACCAAAGGACAUUUUCAGUCUCUGCUGCCGAGCAUGGUAUUGUUGAGGAUAGCUUUACUGAAGGAGGCUUCAAAAACCCUAUCUCCUGGCAAGGCUUCACUGUGGCCUUGUGUCAACGGCAGGACUGUACCUGUGAACCUCAAACCUGCACAGCAGCAUAGACAUGAUGCUGACUUCACAGCCACUUACCCACUUCUCUCUCCAUACAUUACUUCCCAAUAUAGAAUGGAAAAUGUACUACUCCUAGCUAAGAAUCAGCUAGGGCUCUGCUGGAGAGGUUUGACAGAGUCAGUUAAAUCACAGCCAGCUUUUGAACUGGGCAAUAAAAGCUAUCCCCAUUAAGUUCACCUUCUCCCUGGGGUGGCGCAGCAUCUCAGCUGGCUGUGCAGCUCCUUCUCUGACAUCCAUCACAUACAUCCCUCACACAGCCAUGGAGUUGCCAGGUAUCAGGUGGCACAACCCAGGAAUAGAUGCUCCUACUGGUGACACAGAGUUUGAUGGCACAGAGUACAGACAUUGCCUUUCCAAAAAAGUAAUGAUGUUUUUAUCACACAGCAUUCAUUGCCAUCCCAGUGCCUUCUGAAGAGGUUUAGCGACUUGCAUUUCUUCCAAAAUCUGAAGGACAAGUGCCUGCUACAGCAACCCUGGAAAGACCUGUUUUCACGAAGAACAUACUAGUACUGAUGGGGUCAGAAAAUUCUCUUGCUGUAUGCAAGUUUCCUACAGAAUUAUAUUGCCCUUGUGGCUCUCAUUAAAAAUCUCCAGAAAGUGAGGAGGCCACAGCUGAUAUCUUUAAACAGGAAGCAACACCAAUGCAGUAUGAUCAUGUGGCACUCAAAGGCACUAGGAAAUAUGGGCUAUUAGAUUCUGGCCCAGCACAUACUGCAGAAGUGACUCAUCUGACUUUAUCUAUCCUGGCAGAUACUUUUGCUCACAGUGAGUGCACUGCUGUCCUCUUUCACAGCACUUUUGUGAGAUUUGUUUUGGUGUGAAAGCAGAGGUAUUGUUUGAUCUGUUUAAAUAACUGUGUUUUCAACCUUUUCCAACUGCUGUCCCCUAAAUAUUUUCCAGCAGUUGUGCACCCUGUUAUCUAGCAGAUGUAACUGUAUUGACAACAGGCUUGCUUCCCUGUGUGACCUUUCACAGACUCUUUAGAAGUUGCUCUUACUCUGCAGGGAUUUUUCAACCACAGGUUGAAAAUUGCAGGUCCCGAUCAUUAAUAUCCUUCUAGCUAAAUCUGCAGCACUCUCUGCAGCAUCGUGCAUAGGCUAGAUGGCAGUACAGCACGCUGUGUUGUUACCUUGCUGCUGUGGGGCAAGCUUCUCCCUGCUGCACACAGAGGCUAAAGGCAUCCUCCAAGCAUCUUUUUCCUCUAGAUUUUGCGGCUACUGUGCUGGGACAAGAUGUGUAUCUUACUUCUCUCACAAAACCUGAGUGGAGAUAAGGGGGAGAUGAGUACAUGCAGGUGUUUUCUGCAUUGUCCACUAAGCACAGAGCUAGAUCUCCACCAAAAUUCAUCCUGUGGUAGUGGAUUUGGGACAGUAAAAGACUGUAUAGCUUACAAAUUUUUAUCAGGGUAAGGAACUGGGUAACAACUGUUCCCCAAAGUACUGUAUCAUGAACACAGUAUGCUAUGCAACUGGGCUAACAUACCAUUGACUUCCAAGAAAAAGUUAUAUUUGUUUCAACUAAGCUCAUGUUUACACAAUCCCUAAAAGAUUACUUUCCAAAACUAGCAGCAACAACAUGCACCUACAGCUGUGUACUGCCUUCAGCAGCAGCCAUUAACUCCCCAGAAAAUAAAACCUGUCAAGACCACACUGGUAAACUCAUUCCUGACUAUCAAUAGCAAAAUGGGGAACACUGCUCCCUUUGUGAAGAGAUGAAAGCUUCAGCAGGAAUGUGAAAGAUCCAAAGAAAAAAGUCUCUGAAUAAGUUUUGAUUUACAGCAUGGUCCUUUUUCCCUGUACAGCCUGCUCAAUGGCAAUUCAAUGGCUUUCUGAUAUUCUCAAUGUGAAAUCUGCAUUGGUUAAAAAAAAAAAUGCCACUUGGCUGAGUAAAAAAUUACUAAUGACUUGAUCCAAAUCUAAUUGAAAUGAAUCCUAGUGAAAGGGCUAUAAACUGAUGCUUUUUCAAAGACAGAAUUGGAUUUUGGAUGAAGCUCUAAAGGGGCCAGUCUUGUGGGAGAUGUUUUACCCACAAUGCUUUUGUUUUUUGUCUCUAAACUGUGCAAGUCCAGUGGUGGAAUUUGGGAUGCAGUCUGUUUGCUGUCUCCACUGGCAGGCAGAGGGAAGAUAUUUCUGUGCCCACCCACAUAAAAUCGGCACUGGUGAAUAUCUCUGGAUGUUUGCCUGUGCACACACAAACAAACACACAGACUGUGAAAGAGCAUCAUAAGGGUUAUAAAGUCAAAUAAAGACACAAUAAAUGGCAAAAUGAAGGCAGUAUAAUUCUGUGUCACUGUUGUAUACUCAAGGGCAUUUUUCUGAUGUUAUUAAGGUGAAUAAUAAUGUCCUUUUAAUGCACUUAUGAAAUUGCCUAAGUAUUUUAGUAGCAAAUUAAAACAAAACAAAAAUCCUAUUGCUUAGCAUUAUGUUGGCACUCAGUCUGAUCAUAAACAGGGAUUAAACUUUUUAAGGGUGGGUGAGAUCUCUUCAGUCCCAUUCCUUCCUA